CCUACGGGUGGCAGCAGUGGGGAAUAUUGCACAAUGGGGGAAACCCUGAUGCAGCAACGCCGCGUGAGGGAUGAAGGCUCUCCGUAUGUAAAGCUCUAUCAGCAGGGAAGAGAAUGACGGUACCUGACUAAGAAGCCCCGGCUAACUCCGUGCCAGCAGCCGCGGUAAUACGUAGGGGGCGAGCGUUAUCCGGAUUUACUGGGUGUACAGGGAGCGUAGACGGUUGUGCAAGUCGGAUGUGAAAGCCCGUGGCUUAACCGCGGAACGGCCGUUGCAACUGUGGAACUGGAGUGCUGGAGAGGCAGGCGGAAUUCGUGGUGUAGCGGUGAAAUGCGUAGAUAUUACGAGGAACACCGGUGGCGAAGGCGGCUUGCUGGACAGUAACUGACGUUGAGGCUCGAAAGCGUGGGGAGCAAACAGGAUUAGAUACCCCAGUAGUC
rnacentral:rRNA from 1 species